rnacentral:rRNA from 1 species
GAUGAACGCUGGCGGCGUGCCUAAUACAUGCAAGUCGAGCGAACAGAUGAGGAGCUUGCUCCUCUGACGUUAGCGGCGGACGGGUGAGUAACACGUGGAUAACCUACCUAUAAGACUGGGAUAACUUCGGGAAACCGGAGCUAAUACCGGAUAAUAUAUUGAACCGCAUGGUUCAAUAGUGAAAGACGGUUUUGCUGUCACUUAUAGAUGGAUCCGCGCCGCAUUAGCUAGUUGGUAAGGUAACGGCUUACCAAGGCGACGAUGCGUAGCCGACCUGAGAGGGUGAUCGGCCACACUGGAACUGAGACACGGUCCAGACUCCUACGGGAGGCAGCAGUAGGGAAUCUUCCGCAAGGGGCGAAAGCCUGACGGAGCAACGCCGCGUGAGUGAUGAAGGUCUUCGGAGCGUAAAACUCUGUUAUUAGGGAAGAACAAAUGUGUAAGUAACUAUGCACGUCUUGACGGUACCUAAUCAGAAAGCCACGGCUAACUACG